rnacentral:rRNA from 1 species
UACGAAGGGGGCUAGCGUUGCUCGGAAUUACUGGGCGUAAAGGGAGCGUAGGCGGACAUUUAAGUCAGGGGUGAAAUCCCAGAGCUCAACUCUGGAACUGCCUUUGAUACUGGGUGUCUUGAGUGUGAGAGAGGUAUGUGGAACUCCGAGUGUAGAGGUGAAAUUCGUAGAUAUUCGGAAGAACUCCAGUGGCGAAGGCGACAUACUGGCUCAUUACUGACGCUGAGGCUCGAAAGCGUGGGGAGCAUACAGG